UACGGAGGGAGCUAGCGUUGUUCGGAUAUACUGGGCGUAAAGCGCACGUAGGCGGCGCAGUAAGUCAGGGGUGAAAUCCCCGGGCUCAACCCGGGAACUGCGUCCGAGACUGGCAGGCUCGAGUCCGGGAGAGGGAUGUGGAAUUCCGGGUGUAGUGGUGAAAUGCGUAGAGAUCCGGAGGAACACCAGUGGCGAAGGCGACACGCUGGGCCAUACCUGACGCUAAAGCGCGACAGCAUGGGGUGCAAACGGG
rnacentral:rRNA from 1 species